AGCCUGAACGCUGGCAGCGUGGUUAAGACAUGCAAGUCGAACGGAUGUAGCAAUACAUCAGUGGCGCACGGGUGAGUAAUGUAUCGCUAACGUGCCCCGAAGCCUGGGAUAGCUGCCCGAAAGGGCAGGUAAUACCAGAUAAGACCCCGGGAAGGCAUCUUCCUGUGCUCAAAGGCGUAAGUCACUUCGGGAGCGGGCGAUAUCGUAUCAGCUAGUUGGUGAGGUAACGGCCCACCAAGGUGACGACGCGUAGCCGGUCUGAGAGGACGGUCGGCCACAUCGGGACUGAGACACUGCCCGGACUCCUACGGGGGCUGCAGUAACGAAUCUUCCCCAAUGCACGAAAGUGUGAGGGAGCGACGCUGCGUGGAGGACGAAGUCCUUCGGGAUGUAAACUCCUGUCAGGGGAUACCAAGUUCUGAGGAUCCCCAGAGGAAGAGGCGGCUAACUCUGUGCCAGCAGCCG
rnacentral:rRNA from 1 species